AAUGCCUACGGGGGGCAGCAGUGGGGAAUAUUGCACAAUGGGGGGAACCCUGAUGCAGCGACGCCGCGUGGGUGAAGGAGUAUUUCGGUAUGUAAAGCCCUAUCAGCAGGGAAGAACAAUGACGGUACCUGACUAAGAAGCCCCGGCUAACUACGUGCCAGCAGCCGCGGUAAUACGUAGGGGGCGAGCGUUAUCCGGAUUCACUGGGUGUAGAGGGAGCGUAGACGGCCAUGCAAGCCAGGGGUGAAAGCCCGGGGCCCAACCCCGGGACUGCCCUUGGAACUGCAUGGCUGGAGUGCGGGAGG
rnacentral:rRNA from 1 species